CUACCCCAAAACAUUUCAGAUACUUGAAAUCUGGUGAUGGUAUGACUCGGGAAGCAUGGCAUUGAACCGGUGCACACAAAGAUCCCAACAAGCUUUAAAGGGCACACAGUCGUGAAGGAGUUAGCGUCACAUUUUACAGCAUCAGCAUUCACUGAUCGGUGUUCAAUUCCUGCCAAGAGAUACAGCGUGGAACAGACCUUUCUGCCUGAACAAGCCCCACCACCGAGCAACCCACUAUUUGCCCAAUAAUCCAGCCCUAGCCUAACCACAAGGUAACUUACAAUGACCAGUUAACCUACCAACUGGAAUGUCGUUGGACUGUAGGAGGAAACCCACGUGCUCACGGGAAGGCCAUACGAGCUUCAGCCAAACAGCGUUGGAUUUGAAUGUGGCGCUAAUCGUUAUGGUACCGCGGCCCCCUACGCUCCUCUGUUCACAGACCGACUCCGGUUAACUGAAACCUGAGGAUAGAUGUCUAUAAGCAGCCCGCAUUCAGUGAUCGCUCUCCCUGCCUGAACACUGAACCCUGCCAGCAGGUGAAGGGCAAGGCUAUCAGACUGAAAUAGGAACGUGGAACGUGAAUCUGGAUUCUUCGCAAUAAGAAAUGAGGACGCUGGCUCUUAUCCAGCUCACACUGAGGUGUGUACUUCGACCUUUCGGUGUAAACCCUGUGUACGUCAACACAGCAAAUCCCUUCACCCUCGCUCCUGUGCUGGGGUGUGUGGCAUUGCUGUGAGCUACAAAUGAAUCCAAACGAUUUUGUGAAUUACAACCAAAUCCAACAGAUUCAUUUGUAACACACAGAAGAGGACUGGAUUAUGCUGACACCUGACAGCUGUUGACAAGUAUAAGUCCGGGAACAGAUCCUUGCCAAGUGCGAAACUCGAGUCACUACGACGUUUUUCAAUGACCUUGACAUUCGAAGAUGCCUCACAACUAUUAAAAUAGCAAUAAUGGAAAGAAAUUUCCCUGGAGCUUAGGAGAAGUGGGGGCGGAUUUGAUAGAGAUAAACAAAGUUAUGAGGGGAAUAGAUGGGGUAAAUGCAAGCAGGCUUUUUCCACAGGUUGGGUGAGACUAGAACCAGAGGUCAUGGGUUAAGGGUGAAAGGUGAAAUAUUUAACAGGAAUCUGAGGAGGGCCGCCUUCACUCAGAGAGCAAUGUGAAUGUGGAAAGAGCUGCCAGUGGAAGAGAUAGACUGGGGUUCCACUGCAACAUUUAAGAGAAGGAUGAACAAGUACAAAUGUUUGUACAUAGAUGGGAGGGGUAUGGAGAUCUGAGGUCCAGGUGUGGGUAGAUGGGACGAGGCAAAAUAACAGAUGGGCUGAAGGGCUUUUUACUGUGCUGUAGUGCUCUAAGACUCUAAAUUAUCAGUUUAGAAGAAUAAAUAAUUAAAUAAA